rnacentral:lncRNA from 1 species
GAUUUCUUUGUCAACUGACGAACUUCCCUUCAGAGGUCUCGAAUCAUCGACUUCAGAGGAAUCCCCUCUGACAGGGGAAGAGCUUCGACAGGGCACUGUCAUUGGAAAGCAAGAGCACCACGACUCAAAUUAGUGCAAGAAGACAAAAAAGAAGAAAAAGAAUGCAGAAGAAAAAGAAGGGCUCUUUGUAAAGAAGAAUCUGAUUUUAUUGAUUAAAUAAUUUUC